rnacentral:rRNA from 1 species
UACGAAGGGGGCUAGCGUUGCUCGGAAUUAUUGGGCGUAAAGCGCGCGUAGGCGGCUACCUAAGUCGGAUGUGAAAGCCCCUGGCUUAACUGGGGAAGUGCACCCGAAACUGAGUAGCUAGAGUGCGAAAGAGGGUCGCGGAAUUCCCGGUGUAGAGGUGAAAUUCGUAGAUAUCGGGAGGAACACCGGUGGCGAAGGCGGCGACCUGGGUCGACACUGACGCUGAGGCGCGAAAGCGUGGGGAGCAAACAGG